ensembl:lncRNA
CUGAAAAGAGACGUUUUUGACUUCAGGCUAGUGCCCAAGCCUCAGUUUAGUUAAUCCUGGUCUUAUCCAGGCUAAAACACAGACUGACGUCACAACUUUGGAAUCCCUGGGAGCUGGCAAGCCCUGGUCCAAGGAAUUUUCCAUUUCAGGUGCAGCGCCCGGCAGCCCCUGACUGGCUUUGGUCCUGUGCGUGUAGACCUGAAAGCUCUCCUCAGCGUUGUCAGUGGAAAACCUGGGGGCGGCGCGCAGCGUGAGACCGUGGCCAGUCGCAGUCCAUCGCUGGUGUCUCAGAUCACUCUGACAACCGGUCAGGACGAUGGAAAUUGUCAUCAUGAUUAUUUGGCAUAGUAGACUGGCUGGUUAAGUAAAAAAUGAUCAAUUCAAUAUGUUAUAUGUUUUAUAAUACACCAUGAUGCAUAUAGUACUGUGUCAGAUUCUGUGGAAUACAGGAUAAAGUAAAGUAUGGUGGAAACCAAACCAAAAAAUAACAACAGGAUAUGAUUUGGGCCCCAAAAAUGGAAGGAGAAAGACUAGAGGAUUGAUGAUAGAGAAUGGCAUUUACUAUUUCCUAGUAUUUUAACAUAUACAAUGGUAAGGAUUCACCUGACCAGUUCUUUUUAUUUUUAAUUCCAUGAAAGAUACUAAUGCUAUUAUCGCAGUCAUAAUAAUAAUAAUAGCCAAAUGCAUUCAGUGUUCUCUGUGUACCAGGCAUUGCACUAGACUCUUUGCAUGCGUGGCCUCAUUAAUGCCCUCCCAACAACGCUUUGAGACUGGCAUUAUCCUUCUCACUUUAGGGAUGAGGGAACUGAGCCUUGGAGAAAAGAACUCACUUAAUGCCACACACCAGGAAGCGGGAUUGCUGCCGUUGGAACCCAAAUCUGACACCAAAUCUGACUUUCUUUUCCCUGGACCAUACCAACAGCGAGGAGACGCUAAGGACAUUGGAACUGCUAGGUGUUUGCCAUUUGUUCCAACCUUCGCUCUCUAAGGUUAUGGGAAGAAAUAAUAUUUCUGGGCUGAGAUGGAAAGCGGGACCUGACUUAGUCGGUGAAAGGCUGUGAGUGGCAGGAAGAGGCAUUCCAAGAAGGCCUGGCUGUGUUUUUCCUCUUGGAAAAGCUGAAAACUACAAAUCAAUAGUUCCAAGGUAUCUGGAAUAUGUCAAAGACCAGUCGAUAUGAAUCAACCGACAAGAGUGAUAUUGAAUUCGACCAUGAGGUUGUGUCAGAGAAAAGGCCCCAAAGGUCUACAUUCCAGGCUGAAAGGCCAGGAUAAUAUGCAACUAAUUGAGGCACUAGAGGGACCUUCCUCUCAACAAAUGGAUCUCCUGAGUCUUCAGCAGGAACUUCGUCCGGAAGAAAUGAAGAUGCAGGAAGAUACUGUGCUAGUUGCCCUGCAAAUGCCAGCAUUGUCCUUGCCCCGGCCCUCACCCCGUCAUAACAGCCUUGUGAUUUUUGGUUGUGAGCUCCAAGGAAGAAGAUUUCAAAGAGAGAGGAGCUCUCAGGAGAAUGGAUGGGCAGAGGUGAGGACGUGAGGGGAAACAGUGGAGACCAGGAAGGAGAUGGGAAAGUCCUGGAGACCCAUGGGGCUGGUGCAGAAGCUGCCUGAAGGAUUAUCUUGGGAAACAGGCUGGAAAAGCAGCUGAGUGGAGACGGCAGAGAGCCCUGAAUGUGGGAUACCAUGAUACCACGUGUUGGGAGGCAGCAUUUCCUGGGCUUGCAAACUUUUCCUCCCUGUAGCGACUCCCCUAUUUCUGCACCUUUUAUUCCUCUAUGGUGAAUAUACAUUCAUUCUGUCCAAUCAAAAUUGCUAACACUGAUCAAGCAUUUUAUAGCAUCGGGCACUGUUCUGUGGGCUUCAUAUAUUGCCUUCCUUAAGUUUCACAAUAACCAUAUGGCAUAAGUUUUAUUACUCUUCCCAUUAAAGAUAAGGAAACUGAGGCAUAUAGAUGUUAACUAACUUAGCCAAGGUCACACGGUUAGUAAAUUUGAACCUGCACAGUGUGAUGAUGGAGCCCCAUCUCCGUCCUCUAACCUGAAAGGUCCUUUUGCUGAAAAAUCUAGAUCUUUGAGUAUUCAUCCAAUGAGCUAUGCAGGAAGUCUCCGUAGUUUUUCACUGUCUUUUACAUGUGUAAACCUAAGCACAGUAGCGCUCAGCCUCAGAAGGAUACAGGCCGCUUCUAAUGCCUCCCAUCAAGCUUAAAAUGUUUCCCAAUUCCUUGGCUGAACUUUCAGGCAAAUUGGCCACAGAAACAAUUUUCAUGGCAUUUGUGGCAAAGCUAUAUGAUAAGAAAGACAUAAAUCUAGUUCCUUUUUUCACGGACCAUGCUGGCUUUUGUAGCUCCCGGCUGUGCAAUGACAACUAAUACAUGCUAUGGGGCCGCCCUGCUGGGUCUUUAUCCCUUUCAGCUAUUUUAAUCUCCGGACGAGCAAAGAGCAUAGACAAGAAUAAAGGAUAUGCUGCAUAUUCAAUGCAUAUGAAAAGAUAUUUCUGCAAUUUAAAAAACAGGCUUUAUCGUGUCUGAGAGCAAGGGCGAGCGUCCCAUUCUUCUCCCCCCAGUCUGUUUCACUGUGUGGUGGAGGUCACUGACUUGAGUAAGAUGGAGGAACCAAGAGUGCUGCUUCCUCAUUAUAGCACAAGACACUGCGGCUCCCGGCUGUUAUGAAACAGCGGCGGGCUUCACAACAGGAAGUACAAUCCAUGGCCAGUAACAAAAGCCCUUCCUUCCCUUUUAGCAGCCUCUGAAGUUCCUUCUCCUUAGUUCCAAAUCCUUCUACAGAUGUUUACUUAGGAGUUUGGAUUUUCCUCUUUCUCUCUGAGCCCCUCUAGGGGGUCAAACAGUGUGAAUCGGGCUUCUGUCAUUUACCUCUCAUUUUAUGUUAAAGAUCAACAAAGGGGAAAGCGGUGUUAUCUGCACUGUUCCCAGGGAAACCUUGAAACCACAGGGAAAAGGCCCACUUGACCAUACCCGUCUUUCUCCUGUAAAUAUUUUGAGUUGGAACUUAUCAACAUCACUUUGUCCUUGAGCUGGAAUUUCCCUUUUAAUUUCCCCGGCCCGCCCUGUUCAAAACCAGCCCAGGGAGCCUGACUGAAUCAGGCAAGAGCAUUUUGCAUAUAAAUCUUUGCAAAUAUAAUAGAAAGUGUAAAAAGAGCUCUGUAAAUAGCUGCUCAAGUGCAGCAACUACAAUUCGUGCCAGGCAAAUGGG